rnacentral:rRNA from 1 species
AAUAGAUACCCCGGUAGUCCACGCCGUAAACGUUGGGCGCUAGAUGUGGGGACCAUUCCACGGUUUCCGUGUCGCAGCUAACGCAUUAAGCGCCCCGCCUGGGGAGUACGGCCGCAAGGCUAAAACUCAAAGGAAUUGACGGGGGCCCGCACGAGCGGCGGAGCAUGCGGAUUAAUUCGAUGCAACGCGAAGAACCUUACCAAGGCUUGACAUAUACCUGAAAAGGCUGGAAACAGUCUCCCCGCAAGGCAGGUAUACGGAGGUGGGUGCAUGGUUGUCGUCAGCUCGUGUCGUGAGAUGUUGGGUUAAGUCCCGCAACGAGCGCAACCCUCGUUCUAUGUUGCCAGCACGUAAUGGUGGGAACUCAUAGGAGACUGCCGGGGUCAACUCGGAGGAAGGUGGAGAUGACGUCAAAUCAUCAUGCCCCUUAUGUCUUGGGCUUCACGCAUGCUACAAUGGCCGGUACAAAGGGCUGCAAUACCGUAAGGUGGAGCGAAUCCCAAAAGCCGGUCUCAGUUCGGAUUGAGGU